rnacentral:rRNA from 1 species
CCUACGGGAGGCAGCAGUAGGGAAUCUUUCACAAUGGGCGAAAGCCUGAUGGAGCAACGCCGCGUGCAGGAUGAAGGCCUUCGGGUUGUAAACUGCUUUUAUAAGCGAGAAAUAUGAUGGUAACUUAUGAAUAAGGAUCGGCUAACUACGUGCCAGCAGCCGCGGUCAUACGUAGGAUCCGAGCAUUAUCCGGAGUGACUGGGUGUAAAGAGUUGCGUAGGUGGCAUACUAAGUAGCUAGUGAAAUCUGGUGGCUCAACCAUUCAGACUAUUAGCUAAACUGUUAAGCUCGAGACCGUUAGGGGUAACUGGAAUUUCUAGUGUAGGCGUGAAAUCCGUAGAGAUUAGAAGGAACACCAAUAGCGUAGGCAGGUUGCUGGGACGGUUCUGACACUAAGGCACGAAAGCGUAGGGAGCAAACGGGAUUAGAUACCCCAGUAGUC